GAUGAACGCUGGCGGCGUGCUUAACACAUGCAAGUCGAACGAUGAAGUUAUGACGGAGGCUUCGGCCGACAGAAUAACGGAAUAGUGGCGGACGGGUGAGUAACGCGUGGGUAACCUGCCUCAUACAGGGGGAUAGCAGCUGGAAACGGCUGGUAAUACCGCAUAAGCGCACGGAACCGCAUGGGUUUUGNGUGAAAAACUCCGGUGGUAUGAGAUGGACCCGCGUCUGAUUAGCUAGUUGGUGAGGUAACGGCCCACCAAGGCGACGAUAGCUAUCCGGCUGAGAGGGUGAACGGACACA
rnacentral:rRNA from 1 species